rnacentral:rRNA from 1 species
ACAUCCAGCGAACUUGGCAGAGAUGCCUUGGUGCCUUCGGGAACGCUGAGACAGGUGCUGCAUGGCUGUCGUCAGCUCGUGUUGUGAAAUGUUGGGUUAAGUCCCGCAACGAGCGCAACCCUUAUCCUUUGUUGCCAGCGAUUCGGUCGGGAAACUCAAAGGAGACUGCCGGUGAUAAACCGGAGGAAGGUGGGGAUGACGUCAAGUCAUCAUGGCCCUUACGAGUAGGGCUACACACGUGCUACAAUGGCGCAUACAAAGAGAAGCGACCUCGCGAGAGCAAGCGGACCUCAUAAAGUGCGUCGUAGUCCGGAUCGGAGUCUGCAACUCGACUCCGUGAAGUCGGAAUCGCUAGUAAUCGUGGAUCAGAAUGCCACGGUGAAUACGUUCCCGGGCCUUGUACACACCGCCCGUCACACCAUGGGAGUGGGUUGCAAAAGAAGUAGGUAGCUUAACCUUCGGGAGGGCGCUUACCACUUUGUGAUUCAUGACUGGGGUGAAGUCGUAACAAGGUAAGCGUAGCGAG